ACGAACGCUGGCGGCGUGCCUAACACAUGCAAGUCGAGCGAUGAAAUCCUUCGGGAUGGAUUAGCGGCGGACGGGUGAGUAACACGUGGGUAACCUGCCUCAAAGAGGGGAAUAGCCUUCCGAAAGGAAGAUUAAUACCGCAUAAUAUGUUUUGGUCGCAUGACCGAGACAUCAAAGGAGUCUUCUUCGUGAGAAGAAGCAUCCGCUUUGAGAUGGACCCGCGGCGCAUUAGCUAGUUGGUGAGGUAACGGCUCACCAAGGCGACGAUGCGUAGCCGACCUGAGAGGGUGAUCGGCCACAUUGGAACUGAGACACGGUCCAGACUCCUACGGGAGGCAGCAGUGGGGAAUAUUGCGCAAUGGGGGAAACCCUGACGCAGCAACGCCGCGUGAAUGAUGAAGGCCUUCGGGUUGUAAAGUUCUGUCUUCUGGGACGAUAAUGACGGUACCAGAGGAGGAAGCCACGGCUAACUACGU
rnacentral:rRNA from 1 species